GGAGAAGGGCUAUAGUUUAGGGACAAAGCAUCUGCUUUGCAUGCAGAAAGGUCUCGGGUUCAAUCCCCAGUAUCUCCA